rnacentral:rRNA from 1 species
CUUUUCCUACGGGGCGCAGCAGUGAGGAAUAUUGGUCAAUGGGCGAGAGCCUGAACCAGCCAAGUCGCGUGAGGGACGACGGCCCUACGGGUUGUAAACCUCUUUUGCCGGGGGACAAACGGCGGCACGCGUGCCGUCCUGAGGGUACCCGGAGAAAAAGCAUCGGCUAACUCCGUGCCAGCAGCCGCGGUAAUACGGAGGAUGCGAGCGUUAUCCGGAUUUAUUGGGUUUAAAGGGUGCGCAGGCGGAAGAUCAAGUCAGCGGUAAAAUUGAGAGGCUCAACCUCUUCGAGCCGUUGAAACUGG